UAGGGAAUCUUGCACAAUGGGCGCAAGCCUGAUGCAGCAACGCCGCGUGCGCGAUGAAGGCCUUCGGGUCGUAAAGCGCUUUUCUGGAGGACGAGAAGGGACGGUACUCCAGGAAGAAGGCUCGGCUAACUACGUGCCAGCAGCCGCGGUAAAACGUAGGAGCCUAGCGUUAUCCGAAUUUACUGGGCGUAAAGCGCGUGCAGGCGGCUUGGUAAGUUGGCUGUGAAAUCUCCCGGCUCAACUGGGAGGGACGGUCAAGACUGCCAGGCUGGAGGCAGGGAGAGGGAGGUGGAAUUCCCGGUGUAGUGGUGAAAUGCGUAGAGAUCGGGAGGAACACCAGUGGCGAAAGCGGCCUCCUGGCCCUGACCUGACGCUGAGACGCGAAAGCUAGGGGAGCAAACGGGGAUUAGAAACCCCGGUAGUCCUAGCCGUAAACGAUGUCGACUGGGCGGCGGGUGGGGUAAAAGCCAUCGGUGCCGCAGCUAACGCGCUAAGUCGACCGCCUGGGG
rnacentral:rRNA from 1 species